rnacentral:snRNA from 1 species
CUACUCACUUUGGCAGCACAUAUGUUAAAAUUGGAAAGAUGCAGAGCAGAUCAGCAUGGCCCCUGCACAAGGAUGACAUGAAAAUUCGUGAAGCAUUCCAUAUUUUU